rnacentral:lncRNA from 1 species
CAGCAAAAAAGUUCAAGAACAAAUUAUUCCAUUGCUUUACUAUUUCUCUGAGCACCUUAAAAUGUGGUUUCAUUAAACAUUUAUAAUAACCUAGUGAAUAAGGUAGUAAAACCUUCAUUCUUUAGAAGAAGACAUUGAGCCUAAGAGAAGAGACUUGUUCAAGAACAAAUACCCAUUGGUCCUAUUAUGAGUCAGAUCAUUUUCCAUUAUGUCAACUUCACAUGAGUUAAUUUACUGAGUUAUACUGUCCUCACUUCAUACUUUUUUCUUCUUUAAUUAGAAGCUUAAUAAGAGUUUUGUAGAGCUUACAAACUAAAAGUGUAUAAUUAAAGUUCUGAUAUUGUUUGAUAUACUCUUAAGAAUUUAAUGUAUUUGGUAAAGUUUUUCAUAUCAGUAUUAAAA